rnacentral:rRNA from 1 species
AUUGAACGCUGGCGGCAUGCCUUACACAUGCAAGUCGAACGGUAACGGGUCCUUCGGGAUGCCGACGAGUGGCGAACGGGUGAGUAAUAUAUCGGAACGUGCCCAGUAGUGGGGGAUAACUGCUCGAAAGAGCAGCUAAUACCGCAUACGACCUGAGGGUGAAAGGGGGGGAUCGCAAGACCUCUCGCUAUUGGAGCGGCCGAUAUCAGAUUAGCUAGUUGGUGGGGUAAAGGCCUACCAAGGUAACGAUCUGUAGUUGGUCUGAGAGGACGACCAGCCACACUGGGACUGAGACACGGCCCAGACUCCUACGGGAGGCAGCAGUGGGGAAUUUUGGACAAUGGGCGCAAGCCUGAUCCAGCAAUGCCGCGUGCAGGAAGAAGGCCUUCGGGUUGUAAACUGCUUUUGUCAGGGAAGAAAUCUUCUGGGCUAAUACCCCGGGAGGAUGACGGUACCUGAAGAAUAAGCACCGGCUAACUACGUGCCAGCCGCCGCAGUAACAC